CAAGAACUAUGCCUUAUAUUAGACAAUUAAUAAGCUUUGCUAUGCAAUUAAGUACAUAUAGCAAGCUACUGACAACCCUGCCAAAUUUGUACAGUGAGAAUUAUCACCACUAUUUAUAUAAAAGCACAAUAUUAAAGAAGUUUACUGAAGUAGUU